AUGAAGCAUCUGUUGGUCUGGCUGCUCCUCUCCUCCCUCUGUUCUCCCUCUUCUUGGGAUUCCUCAGAAGAAAAACUGCUCCACCAGCUGCCUAUCAUGAUUCCACUUGCUGUCCUGCUACUGUUCCUCCUCCCUCUCAUCUGCCUGUACAGGGCAUGGAAAAGACACCAAGGUGGUGCCCCAGACAGAACAGUCAGGGUGAUCCACGAGGCUCCCAACCAUGAGGACGAGGAGUUGAAGAUGGAGGAGCUGGAAGAGGCGGCCAACCAGAGCUCUUCCUCCUCCUCCAGAGGAUCCACCCAAUGGUGUCAAGUCCAGGUGUAUGAAUCACUUGAUUACUUGGCUUUACCAACCCAAGACAAAGGUUAA
rnacentral:lncRNA from 1 species